UUGAGUUGUCUCGCGAGACAUAAACACGCGCUGUCGGGGGUAAUGACAUCGUUGAAUUUCAUGUGAGAUACAUGUCGUGCGCUGGUGUGUGUUAGCACACAUGCAAAGCAUAAUCAAUGACGUCACACGGCGUGAAGCAAACGCGUCGUGCGCUGCGUUGUGUGCGUUGUGUGCUGGUGUGUGUGACCAUACAAAGAAAGCUUUACAUCAGCGCGCUGUGGCCACUGGUGGAACCGACUGUUUAUUUGACGAAAGCUAACCUAACCGCGACAACCGCGUACAAAAUGGCGCAAAAUGUCACGAAUUUAUCAUGCAUCAAGUUAUAUUUUCUUUAGUAUAAUAAUUACAUUCGUUUAGUUAAGCAACUUGUUUAUGAUAAUUGUAGAAAAGUGUAGAAAAAUGACACCUGCAUUAUAUCCUGGGAUGAAGAAACGUUAUUUUAUGUCGAUUUCUUUAGAUGACAAAGGAGGUAACCAAAUAGCAUAUCUUACAAAAUCUGAGGACAAUAAUAAGGAUUGUUUAGCAAGGUUAAAAUAAUUAUUUUACUAAAUUAAGACAUUAACAUAUCCAUGUGUUCGACAUAACCUCACUUCUUAAAUCUCUUAAAUUAGUCGGUUGAGAAGCGGAUCGAGAAUGAUUGUUUGAAUAUAAGUCGUACAAAAUUGGAAUGAAACGAUGAACAAUAUACAGAUCUUUAGACAGGCUCAAAUAAUGUAUGUUUAGGAGCAAAUUGAAGAUAAUGGAGAUUUAUCUUCUUAAUAUAAAACCUCUAAAAUUGGGAACAGUAUGUCAUAUAUGCAUGAACUUGAUUGAUGUAUUGAUGUAUAAUGAACUGAAGAUAGAAUGAAUUCAAUCAGGUUAAAAAAAAUGUAUGUGCAAAAGCGACUCGAAGACGAUUUAGAUUUGUCUCCUGAAUAUAAAACUUCCAAGAAGUACAACAUAUAUGAAUAUCCUGUAUCCUCGCAUUUGAACUGGCGAUAGAAUGAAAUCAGUCAGUGUUAAAAAUGUAUGUGUAAAAGCGACUUUAAGAUGAUGGAGAUUUGUACACUGAACAUAAAACUUCCAAAAUUUGGGGCAGUAUGUCAUAUGUGCAUAAUCUGUAUCCUGGCAUUUGAUGCAAUGAACUGGCAAUAGAAUGAAAUAAUGAAAAAUAGGCAGGCUGUUUGAUGUAUAAGGAAGUGGCGAUAGAAUACUUAUGCAACACUUCACACUUCACGCCCCAAAAAUAGAAUUACGUUCAUUAGAUAUACAACAAUUUUCAUUAAAUAUACUGUUAUUAAUAUGUUAAGAUUGAAUAAUUUGUAAAUAGUUUUCUAGUAUAGUUCAUGUUAAAAUUUUAUAAUUUCUAAACUACAAUUCUAAUUUGUAAUAUUUAAAUAUUGUAAAAUUUCUUAUUAUUCACGUAAAUAAAUGCUUAUUC